rnacentral:lncRNA from 1 species
GAAGAGGCCGUCGAUGCUUUAUGAUGAGUUCCUGAAUAUUUUAUUUUAUUCACAUGCUUGUAAAAGAUUAAGGUGAUAUUAUGGGAUUAACCAAAUAAUUUGACUAGAACUUGCAUAUUUGUCUCAUUAUUUAAAUGAUUUUUUAUUGCUUUUUUUAUUUUUGUGCUACAAGUCAACUAGUGUACUUCAUUAUUCAUUAUGUUUAAUAGACAUAAGAGAACUAAAUAUAAUUUUUUUAUAAUCUAAAAACCACUGUGCACACCAGUCCUAAAGAGAACAAUAUUGUAACAAUGGAAAAAAAUAAUAAUGACCCAAUCAAAUAUCAUCCUUUGGCAAAGCUCUAAAUAAAACUGAAAGAAUGACCUGACCAAAACUUAAUUUAUGAUUGCAUUGGGGAUUGUUUAAUUAUCAUCCUUUAAAAGUAUAAAGUGAACACCUCAUCUGCACUUCACAUUCAUUUUCAAAUGUGUGUGUGUGUGUGUCCUUCAAACAACACAAAACUGCAUCUGCACUUCAAAUUUGAUUUGAAAGGGGUGGUACGUUGUUCAUGCUUGUCACAGUCACCCCUUCUCCUUCACACAUCACAAAGCAAAAAGUCUGACAUCAAAAGAGAGGUUGGUGGAGUCACACGUGCAAGUACAAAAGUGUGACACUCGUUUGUAUUCUCUGUUCUCAAACAUGGCACACAUUUAUUUCUGCGUAAAUCGAGCCAGUAUAACCACUGUUUUAUAUUAUGUGUUGCAGGUGAGGAAAAGGGCACAUGCACGGUACCUAUGUCUAUGUUUAGUGUAUGUAUCUGAAAGUCAUUUUGUUAUAAUCUAUGUGUAUAGAGUUGUGUGUGUUUCAGAUUAAUACUGCUAAGCCACGACAACUAGCAAGUGGGCAGGAGAUUGCCGGCCGAGUGUCACUUUCCAAACAGUGCAUGCCAAACAAGCCUGCAAAAUAUGGGAUUACGAUUUGGAUUGUUAUAGCCAGCAGGUGGAGCUCCAGAGUGGCUCGGUCACAAAGUCACUUCAAAUGAACUUGGUUCAAGAAGGAGCUGCCAACUAAGG